UUUAAACAUUAUAACAUUUUGGGCUAAUGUUAUUCUAACGAGUUACUUACUUACUUACGUCUGUUACUUCUC
rnacentral:tRNA from 1 species